rnacentral:piRNA from 1 species
UUGAUAAGCCUCACCUACUGACCGCCCAGC